rnacentral:rRNA from 1 species
GACGAACGCUGGCGGCGUGCUUAACACAUGCAAGUCGAACGGAAAGGCCCUGCUUUUGUUGGUUGCUCGAUUGGCGAACGGGUGAGUAACACGUGUGUAACCUGCCCUUGACUUUGUGAUAACUCCAGGAAACAGGGGCUAUUACCGGAUAGGAGCUCCUGCUGCAUGGUGGGGGUUGGAAAGUUUCGGCCGUGGUGGCUGGAUUGGCGGGUUAUGAGCUGGUUGGUGGGGUAGUGGCUGACCAAGGCUUUGACGGGUAGCCGGCCUGAGAGGGUGACCGGGCACAUUGGGCCUGAGAUAGGGCCCAGAAUGGUACGGGAGGCAGCAGUGGGGAAUCUGGCAGAGUGGCGGGACGCCUGAGGUAGAAACGCCGCGUGCGGGAUGCUGUGUUUUGGGUGGUAAACAGCUUUCGAAUGUGACGUAGCGUGAGUGACGGUAACGGGUAAAGAAGCAACGGCUAACUACGUG